GUCACAUUGCUCCCUAGAGAAGACAGCAUUGUCUCCUCCCAAACCCCUCUCACUGCCAUCAGUAAGUUAGUGAUGCUUUGUGUCCCCAACAGAUCUUAGCAGUAACUGAGAAAAUGCUCAUGGAAAUGCUUUGGAAAACUCAGCCUGGCAGCUGCAGAAAACUCGGAAACCACACAGAUUUCUGCUGUUGGAGCCUCCAUCUCUGAGCAAGACCAGCUGGAAUUCUGAGAUCUGUUACCUCUUAUUUCUUCAUGACAUAUUUGGGGAUACAUACAGACCAAACCUUAAAACGAAAUCAAACAUCGUACUCUGGUUCACUUCUUUAUGUGAACAGCACGACUCAGCGGUGCUCAGCGCACAGUGGUGCUCAGCGCACAGUGGUGCUCAGCGCACAGUCCGUCCCAGCAGAUGGAAGCCGCGGAACACUGGCAGUUCAGCACAAUGACAUCAGCAUGGCUAGUCUCCAGAACCAUCCAAACUGUCUGGCUCCAGAGCCAAAAUGUGAGUGUUCCAUUCUUGGAAGUGGGACUGUUCCCUUCCCUGUAGAUGCUGUGUCUAUGUCCCCUGUGUCUCAGGAGUAAUUGUUCAGUAGAGGGUAGCAUCUAGCCGUUUAUGUACUGCACCAUUUAUUGGACCAUGACCUGCACAUGGGUCUUCACUGAUGAAGACCUCAUGUUCUCAUCAUGGUCUUAAGUGCCUCAAACUCACACCUCUACAUGCUUGUUGAUUAAAUGAUG
ensembl:antisense Gm11816 predicted gene 11816